CGUACGUACAGGCCACGACAACUAUUGAAGUAGCUGUCGUACUGCGACGUUACAGGACAUAUUAUUAUUAUAUAGGUACCUAACGAUAUGACGAACGCUCUAAACAGUCUAAACGAUAAUUAUUGCAUUAUUAUUAUUUAUCAUUAUUAUUAUAUAUUGACAUUGCGGCGGCGUGAAAAAUGUGUAGUCGCCGUAUCGUGCGAUUAGUAUACGUGCGGUAUUGCUAGUCGGGUUAUCGGUCCACACGUAAUUUCUCCACACGGCGUUCACAGUCGUGUUGUACCUACCGACGACGUUUUUGGCCCGGACCAUCGGAUAAUAUUUUAUUAGAUACACAUAUUAUAUUGUCACAGUCGAUCGCCGCGAUUCUCGAGAGAUGCGCGAGGACGUGCGCGCGCGUGAAUUUUAAAAUAAUAAUGUUAUUAUUGCCGUUUAUUAUAACGAUAUCAUCGCUUUACGUUUCGAUUGUACGUGUUGCGUAGUAAUUAUUAUUUUAUUAUUAUAUUAUUACGUAUUACGUACCGAUUUAAUUACCGUAUAAUAUUAUUCGUCAUCAUGACCACCGAUGACGAGCGACAGUCGUGCAGGCGAGUGAUUUUCGACCGGGUGUUGGGCAAAGGGACGUUCAGCACGGUGUACAAAGCGCUGGUUCAGCCGGACAACGAGCACAUAGCCCUGAAAAUCGUGCACUUGCGGAACAUUGUCAACGACCUCAAAACCGUGCAGGAUUGCGUGAACGAAAUCAGCAUCCUGAAGAAACUGAAUCAUUCAAAUAUAAUACGAUGUUUCUGGUGGGAUUUUUCGGAUUUUGAAUUGAAAAUUGGCUUGGAACUUGCAACUGGUGGAGAUUUAAGACGGAUCAUUCAAGAACAUUAUGAUGAGUUUAGUCUAAUUAAAGAACCAAUCAUUUGGUCCUGUGCCGUCCAAUUAUCCAGUGCACUUUAUCACAUGCAUACAUCAAGAAUCAUGCACCGAGACAUCAAGCCGGCUAACAUUUUCGUAUACGGACUGAAAGAAGAAAAGAAUUCGCUUUAUGAACGGUGGAAAGAAGUGAAAAUUAAGCUUGGUGACUUUGGAUUCAGCAAAGACAUAACGAACGGUGUAGACAUGACCUGUCGAUCGGUGUUAGGCUCUCCGUUGUACAUGAGCCCUGAGAGGAUGUUACACCAAAAGUAUUACUUUGAUAGCGAUGUAUGGUCAAUGGCUUGUGUCAUAUACGAGAGUUCUAGACACACCUAUACAAAUUUAGAAACUAAUGCAAUUUAUAAUUAUGAAGGUAACAAUUUAUUGAAUUGUAUGUAGUUACUUAUAAAGGCUAAAACUGUGUAUUUUAUUAUUAAAAUAAUUUUAAUGUUUAAUUAAUGUAUGAGGCUUGAGGAGCUUGGACAGUUGGGCAUAACCUGGAUUUAAAAGUCAGAGGCUAUAGACGCUAGUCUUAGAAAAUUAAAAUUCAAAAUAAGCUAGUCAAAAAACCCUCUUCGCAAUUAAAAAAUAUAUCUCAAAAUCAAAUGUAAACAACAGAAUAAUCAUAAUUAUAUAUUUUUUAUUUUAUACUUUAGAGGUGAGUAUAUUUUUAAUACUUUAUAAUUAUACCUAGAUGUGGUUUGAUUAUUGUAAAACGUUUUUUUUUUAAAUAUCAUUAUAAUAAUUAGUUCUAUUGUUUUAUUUAUGUGAGCAUAGCUGAAAUAUAGAAGGUGAUCUACAAAAUGUAUUAUGAGAUAAUAUGGUUGACCUUAUUAAUUAUUUACGCAUUAUACAACGUCUGUGAUUAUGCGAGCCAUAUAAUACUAUUUUAGCGAUAGUGGUGAUACUAAUACUAUUACAUAUAUUAUAAACUAGUGGUAUGAAUAAUAAUAUAAUUGAGAUUUUAACAAACUUGAUAAAAUUUUGAAUUUCAAAUACAUUUAAAAAAUAAUUGUGCCUUUGUAUUUUAAUAAUUAUAUAUACAUACAGAUAUGACUAUAUGAGAACAACUUAUGUAGGUUAGUAUUUUCUAUUAAUUUUUCGAGAAUUUUGACUAAGAAAAUAAUUUUUUGUUCAUUUAUAGAUGAAAAAAAAUGAAAAUGUCUAUAUAAAUAUAAUUAAAAAAGCGUCAAUGUUUAGAAAAUUCCACUACAUGUAGAAAAUGAAACAAACUUUUGUAGCAAAUUUCAAGUGUUUUAGAUUAUGUUUUUGUACCUACAAUAAAAAAAAAUUGUUUGUUUUUUCUGAUUAUUUCGAAAAAUACUACGAGUUUUUAAUUUUGACUACAAUAAAGUACCUACAAAUUGAUAUUAGAAACCAUUACUGAUAAUACACACAAACAUAAAUAAAUAAUAAAAAUAAAUACACAUUGUAAAAUCAAUAGGUGCAUAAAUCAUUCCGCUAAGAAGUAAGAAUUUGAAAUAUGUUAUCACUGAUCAGUAUAGUUAAAGGAAAUUAAAUGAUAAGUUAUACCUAUAUUUACUUACGAAGUACAAAUAAGCAGCUAUUUUAAACUUAGUAACUCUUUUUGCAAAUUAUUAAUGAGACAAUAUGACCGAAUCGUAAAGUAAAAUAUAAUAUUAUAAUAUAAUACAAUGUCUUUUCAUAUAGGUACCUAUAACCUAUAUAGGUACCUUAUAGUUGUAUUAUAUUAUGUAGAUUGUAGGACGUAGGUACAUUAUUAAACUUUAAAUUUUCAAACAAAUGUUUGUAAUAUUAUUUUUUAUUUACGAUUAAAUUUUCAAAAUUUUUAAACUAUUGAGCUAGACAUGACAUUUUUUUCUUUUUUUUUUAUACAAAUAUCGAUAAAACAUUAUUAGCUGGGUCAAAAUUCUUGAAAAUUUAAUAUAAGAUCUAAGAUAUGAGUAUAAUUAGUUGUUCCUACAUACAUAUAAAAAUAUUAAAAAUAAAUUAUCAAUGGGAGCUUAAAAUUUUUAUGUAUAUUUUAUUGUUAUGAAUUUAACUAUACGCAAUGACAUUUUUUUAUUUUUUUUAUUGUUUUACGGUAUUUACAGAAAGACGUAAUUAAAUUAUGAAUUAUAUAAGUUGCUAUACUAUAUUAUAAAUAUAUGUAAUUAUAAUAAUUAAAUACUAAUUAUAUAUUUAAUAGUUAAUAGAAUAUUUUCUGAAAAAUCUGUAUAAAUAACCUAUUUUACUAUUUAUCUUAGUCAUGGCCGACUAAUUUUCAUUCAAAAGUAUUCACCCCUGCUAACGGUAUAUAGUACUCACUAUGCAGUACUAAUUAAAUAAUUUGGUACAGUUUCUUUUAAAACUGUAUUUAAUUAAUAUGAUUUAUAAAGUCAUCAUUCACUUUGGCAGUUUUGUUUUAGUUGGUAGCACUUCAAGCACCAUUUCAUUUGAAUACCUUAGAUAUGAACUUGAUGACCAAACGAAUAAUAAAUGGAUUCUACCCACCUAUACCUUCAGAUAUCUAUUCCAUAAAGAUUACAAAAUUCAUAGAUAGCUGCAUAAUAGUUGAC